GAUGAACGCUGGCGGCGUGCCUAAUACAUGCAAGUCGAGCGAACGGACGAGAAGCUUGCUUCUCUGAUGUUAGCGGCGGACGGGUGAGUAACACGUGGAUAACCUACCUAUAAGACUGGGAUAACUUCGGGAAACCGGAGCUAAUACCGGAUAAUAUUUUGAACCGCAUGGUUCAAAAGUGAAAGACGGUCUUGCUGUCACUUAUAGAUGGAUCCGCGCUGCAUUAGCUAGUUGGUAAGGUAACGGCUUACCAAGGCAACGAUGCAUAGCCGACCUGAGAGGGUGAUCGGCCACACUGGAACUGAGACACGGUCCAGACUCCUACGGGAGGCAGCAGUAGGGAAUCUUCCGCAAUGGGUGAAAGCCUGACGGAGCAACGCCGCGUGAGUGAUGAAGGUCUUCGGAUCGUAAAACUCUGUUAUUUGGGAAGAACAUAUGUGUAAGUAACUGUGCACAUCUUGACGGUACCUAAUCAGAAAGCCACGGCUAACUACGUG
rnacentral:rRNA from 1 species